AUGGUUGACAACACACGUAUGAAGUGCAUGGAGAACUCACUUACUGAGAUGAACAAAAUGCUACAAAAGUUCCUAGAAGAUGCAGAUCAUCGUCAUGACGAGUAUACCCACCACCGUCAUCUGGAUCAAGCGAGAUUUGAGCGUGUUGAAUCUCAACUCAGCAACCUUCAUCUAACUCAGUCCUCUGGCAGCAAGGGCUCAUCACCGUCGUCAUCACCGGUUGCUCAACCCUUUCAGGUGCAGACUUAG